UACGUAGGUGGCAAGCGUUGUCCGGAUUUACUGGGCGUAAAGAGCGCGCAGGCGGUCGUUCAAGUCGCGUGUGAAAGCCCCCGGCUCAACUGGGGAGGGUCACGCGAUACUGAUCGACUGGAAGGCAGGAGAGGGUAGUGGAAUUCCCGGUGUAGUGGUGAAAUUCGUAGAUAUUGGGAAGAACACCGGUGGCGAAGGCGGCGACCUGGUCCUUGACUGACGCUGAGGCGCGAAAGCGUGGGGAGCAAACAGG
rnacentral:rRNA from 1 species